UGUUGGAGAAGUCAGACACAAAAUCAGGCAUACCAAUCACAAGACAAAACAAAAUUUUCAGUCGGUUUUUACAUUUAGUUUUAAGCAUAAAGUUAUAAAGUUAAAACGUAGUUUAAGUUGUAAAGUGAAAAAGGAGGGUGUCCAAUCGGAUUCCUGUACGUUGAUGCUCUGCUCUACAGAUUUUUAAGCGAUUCACGUCGAUGUGGCAUUACUGUCAUAUACGUACACCACACGUACAUACACAAAAUCGAAUACUUAGAAUACAUCGAAUACUUAGUGACGUCGAAUACUUAGUCACACCGAAUACUUAGUCACAUCGAAUACUUCGUGACAUCGAAUACUUCGUGACAUCGAAUACUUCGUGACAUCGAAUACUUAGUCACAUCGAAUACUUAGUCACAUCGAAUACUUAGUCACAUCGAAUGUUUAAAGGACAUCGAAUGUUUAAAGGACAUCGAAUGUUUAAAGGACAUCGAAUGUUUAAAGGACAUCGAAUGUUUAAAGGACAUCGAAUGAAAUAAAAAAAUAAAGGGGAAACAACUUAGAAAUAACUAAGCGGCAAAUUAAAUGAGUUUGAACGAGCCGCUUUAAAUUCUUACGAAUACAUAAACAUACACAAAAUAUACAAAUCGAAUACUUAGAAAACAUCGAAUACUUAGUGAGAUCGAAUACUUACAGAACAUCUAAUGAAAAAAAAAAAAAGAGCGGGGAAAAAAACUAAAACACUCAGUUGAACGUACGACCCAAAACUAAGCGACUAAUUAAAUGAUUCUGAUCGAGCCGGUUCAAGCUGAUGCAACCCACUUUGACCAAUAUCUUCAAUCCAAAAAGGACGACCAUAAAAAGACUAGAAAACAAAGAAGUUACAAAAUCUGCUGUUUCAAAUUUGGAGUAUUAAAAAUUCCCUGUUAAGAGCAAAAAGUUCAGAGGAGUGAAACGAGCCUUGUAGUGCAGUAGUUCAGUUCAUCAGGGCGACCAUGAAUUCCAUUAAUUAUCGACAAAUGACGGCAAGCACUUGAAAGAUCGAAAAGAGAGGACGGUACAUCUCUAUACUGAAUUGUGAAUUCUAGCCAAUUCCUUGAUAUUGGGAUAUACACUGAAGUCAACCACCGAGCUGCACCACCAAGACUUAAACCAUUCAACCACUCUAUUGGAUCGUGUUCCUGCUCCUUCUGUCCGGCACUAUUAUUGCCUACUUUAUGGCCAUCUAUUUGUAAAGACACCAACAAAAAUACACUCGGCAAAGAAGCAAACUUCA